UUCUAAUUUCCCUCUCCCGCGUAUAACAACUUCAUUUUGACUGGUUGGCCUUAUUUUCACGUCUCUUCGUCUCCCAAUUCACACAUUUUUCUCCUGGGUUUCUUUUUGUGCCUGCGUUGUCUUUUCUGUUCUUGUAUCGAAUCGCAGCAUCCGUUUGUUUUCUGCGUUUUUGAGCAGCUUAAUUGAGAGCCCAUAAUUUAUUUGCUGGUUACCUGUGUUCUACUCCGGACAGCAAAGUUUCAUGUCUGAAUUCAACGUGCAGAUUCCAUCUGCUUUUGACCCAUUUGCUGAUGCAAAUGCUGAGGACUCGGGAGCCGGGGGAAAAGAGUAUGUUCAUGUGCGCAUACAGCAACGUAACGGGAGAAAAAGUCUGACUACUGUCCAAGGAUUGAAGAAGGAAUUUAGUUAUAACAAGAUUCUUAAGGACCUGAAGAAGGAAUUCUGCUGUAAUGGCACAGUUGUGCAAGAUCCUGAGCUGGGCCAGGUAUUGUUCUCCCACCCUACAUGAUUUGUAUGGGAGAGCUAGGCCAGCGGCUUACUCUCCCU